UCUAGUGGACGCUCCUUCAACAACAACAGCUCGUCAGACACCACGGUAGCUUUCGACCAAACACAGCUACAACAUUCAUGCUCUUUACACUGUUUUAGUGUAUAUUAGUCGCUGUGUACUAAACACACCUCUUUCGUAUGUACUUGUUGGCCCAUUGAAUUAUAUAUUUACGUUGUUUGUCAGCUAGCUGGUUUGCUAAAUUAGCUUAGAACUAGGCUAGUCGCUAAUGCUAGCUAGCUAACAUCCCCGACCAUGAGUUCACUAAGCUACUCUCCUCCUGCUAAAGAAGAGGAGGUCUGCUGGACGGAGAAAUAAGCUCUUGUGAAAGAGGAGGAGGAAGAGAAGGAUGUUACAAUACACAAACAAGUAGAGGGUGAGGCUGUUACAGUGAAAUAAGAAAAGAAAGACGUGUCAGUGAAAGAAGAGGAAGACUCAUUCAGAGUGAAAGAGGAAGAGGAUUGUACAGUGAAAUAAGAGGACGUAUUUGGAGUGAAAGAGGAGGAGGGGGAGAUUACUGUCACAUUGGAGGAAGAAGAGGAGGUUGGAGAUCUGUUUAACACCAGAGAGAGACGGGACUAUCGUGCAUCCUCUGGGGAGCCUCAACAACCUCAUGAUGCUGAGGAGGCAGAGGAAAGUAUCUCCAGAUCAGAACACCUCAAGAAACACCCGCAGAGACCCUCAGGGAAGAGGACUCACUGCUGCUCUGACUGUGGGAAACAUUUCAAAUUUUCAUUUGAACUUAAAAUACACCAGAGAACUCACACAGGAGAGAAGCCUUAUAGCUGUGCACAAUGUGGGAAGAGUUUUUCUCAGUCAAACACCCUGAUAUCACACCAGAGAACACACACAGGAGAGAAACCCUAUGGCUGUGCUCAAUGUGGGAAGAGUUUUACCACAGCUUGCAAGCGGACUAGACACCAUAGAACACACACAGGAGAGAAAUCUUAUAGCUGUACUCAAUGUGGGAAGAGUUUUGCUACGUCUAGCAAGUGGACUACACAACAUGUAACACACACAGGAGAGAAAUCUCAGCUGUGAUCAGUGUGUGUCCUUGAUAAAAUACCUCUGAUCAAACAUCAGAAAAUACAUGAA